rnacentral:rRNA from 1 species
AGAGUUUGAUCCUGGCUCAGGAUGAACGCUAGCUACAGGCUUAGCACAUGCAAGUCGAGGGGCAGCAUGAACUUAGCUUGCUAAGUUUGAUGGCGACCGGCGCACGGGUGAGUAACACGUAUCCAACCUGCCGAUGACUCGGGGAUAGCCUUUCGAAAGAAAGAUUAAUACCCGAUGGCAUAGUUCUUCCGCAUGGUAGAACUAUUAAAGAAUUUCGGUCAUCGAUGGGGAUGCGUUCCAGUUAGG